rnacentral:rRNA from 1 species
CCUUUUAAGGUGUUAGAGAAAAUAAAUGAUAAUGCAUAUAAACUUGAGCUACCUGUAGAUUUUGGGGUUAGUCCCACUUUUAACAUUGCAGAUUUGAAGCCUUAUUUGGGUGAGGAAGAUGCGCUUCCGUCGAGGACGACUUCAUUUCAAGAAGGGGAGGAUGAUGAGGACAUCAAUACCAUUGUUACACCCACAACACCUACUGUUACAUAUACUGGACCAAUUACUAGAGCUCGUGCACGCCAAUUUAAUUACCAGGUACUUUCGUUUCUUGGUAAUGAUUCUAAUGUUCAUGAGAUUAUGAUGCUGCCUAAAUUGGAUACAUUUGUUUUGCUUACAAAUGAAGGGCCUAGCUUGGAGAAGGAUGAACACUGGAGCAAGAACACACAUGGAGUUGAUGGCAUGCGCAAGGGGAUCAAGAACGGAGUUACAAGUGAUGAUUUCAGGACUUUAAAGCCGCCAUAA